rnacentral:rRNA from 1 species
UAGGGAAUAUUGCACAAUGGGCGAAAGCCUGAUGCAGCAACGCCGCGUGCGCGAUGAAGGCCUUCGGGUCGUAAAGCGCUUUUUUGGGAGAUGAGGAAGGACAGUAUCCCAAGAAUAAGGCUCGGCUAACUACGUGCCAGCAGCCGCGGUAAAACGUAGGAGCCAAGCGUUAUCCGAAUUCACUGGGCGUAAAGCGCGUGCAGGCGGCUUGGUAAGUUGGAUGUGAAAUCUCCUGGCUCAACUGGGAGAGGCCGUUCAAUACUGUCAGGCUAGAGGGCGACAGAGGGAAGUGGAAUUCCCGGUGUAGUGGUGAAAUGCGUAGAUAUCGGGAGGAACACCAGUGGCGAAGGCGACUUUCUGGGUCGCACCUGACGCUCAGACGCGAAAGCUAGGGGAGCGA